ACGGGUGAGUAAUGUCUGGGAAACUGCCCGAUGGAGGGGGAUAACUACUGGCAACGGUAGCUAAUACCGCAUAACGUCGCAAGACCAAAGAGGGGGACCUUCGGGCCUCUUGCCAUCGGAUGUGCCCAGAUGGGAUUAGCUAGUAGGUGGGGUAACGGCUCACCUAGGCGACGAUCCCUAGCUGGUCUGAGAGGAUGACCAGCCACACUGGAACUGAGACACGGUCCAGACUCCUACGGGAGGCAGCAGUGGGGAAUAUUGCACAAUGGGCGCAAGCCUGAUGCAGCCAUGCCGCGUGUAUGAAGAAGGCCUUCGGGUUGUAAAGUACUUUCAGCGAGGAGGAAGGCAUUGUGGUUAAUAUCCGCAGUGAUUGACGUUACUCGCAGAAGAAGCACCGGCUAACUCCGUGCCAGCAGCCGCGGUAAUACGGAGGGUGCAAGCGUUAAUCGGAAUUACUGGGCGUAAAGCGCACGCAGGCGGUCUGUCAAGUCGGAUGUGAAAUCCCCGGGCUCAACCUGGGAACUGCAUCCGAAACUGGCAGGCUAGAGUCUUGUAGAGGGGGGUAGAAUUCCAGGUGUAGCGGUGAAAUGCGUAGAGAUCUGGAGGAAUACCGGUGGCGAAGGCGGCCCCCUGGACAAAGACUGACGCUCAGGUGCGAAAGCGUGGGGAACAAACAGGAUUAGAUACCCUGGUAGUCCACGCCGUAAA
rnacentral:rRNA from 1 species